UGGGGAAUCUUGCGCAAUGGGCGAAAGCCUGACGCAGCAACGCCGCGUGUGUGAUGAAGGUCUUCGGAUCGUAAAGCACUGUCGCGAGGGACGAAUAAGUGCUGGGUGAACAAUCCAGUGCGAUGACGGUACCUCGAGAGGAAGCACCGGCUAACUCUGUGCCAGCAGCCGCGGUAAUACAGAGGGUGCGAGCGUUGUUCGGAAUUAUUGGGCGUAAAGCGCGUGUAGGCGGCCCGCCAAGUCAGGUGUGAAAGCCCUCGGCUUAACCGAGGAAGUGCGCCUGAAACUGACGGGCUUGAGUGCCGGAGAGGGUGGCGGAAUUCCCGGUGUAGAGGUGAAAUUCGUAGAUAUCGGGAGGAACACCAGCGGCGAAGGCGGCCACCUGGACGGUAACUGACGCUGAGACGCGAAAGCGUGGGGAGCAAACAGGAUUAGAUACCCUGGUAGCCCACGCUGUAAACGAUGAGCGCUAGGUGUUGUGGGUGUU
rnacentral:rRNA from 1 species